CUACACACUAGCUUGUCACCCAGACCUGGCCUUCCCCCAAUGUUGGCAGUGGAGAAGGUCCAACCAUUGAUCUGGGAUGGUAUAAAUGUGUGCAUAGGGGCAAAGGCCUCAUCCAAGAAGCCUAUCAGCCAAAUAUCAUGACUCCUUGACUGUUGGUUAAUGAGAAGAUGUUGUUUAAAUGGAACAGAAUGAAAAAGACAAUGGAUGUCACACCAUGACACAAGCACAGUUCAUUCUCCAGGUGAUCAAAAAGAGUAAUGGUGGUUUUGACUUUGACCUUACCACCUUGAAACUCAAGAUUGUCCAAGAUUAAUAAGCCUCAUGCAGAAGAGUCAAACCCAAGAUUGUCCAAGAUUAAUAAGUCUCAUGCAGAACAGCAAAAUUCAAGCUUGUUCAAGAUUAAUAAGCUUCAUUCUGAACUGCCAAACUCAAGCUUGUCCAAGAUUAAUAAGCCUCAUGUCGAACAACCAAACUCAAGCUUGUCCAAGAUUAUAAUAAGCCACCUUCUGAACAGCCAAACUCAAGCUUGUUCAAGAUUAAUAAGCCUCAUGUCGAACAGCCAAAAUCAAGCUUGUCCAAGAUUAAAAAGCCUCAUGUCGAACAGCCAAACUCAAGCUUGUCCAAGAUUAAUAAGCGUCAUGUCACACAGUUAAACUCAAGCUUGUCCAAGAUUAAUAAGCCUCAUGUCACACAGCCAAACUCAAGCUUGUCCAAGAUUAAUAAGCCUCAUGUCGAACAGCCAAAAUCAAGCUUGUUCAAGAUUAAUAAGCCUCAUGUCGAACAGCCAAACUCAAGCUUGUCCAAGAUUAAUAAGCCUCAUGUCACACAGCCAAACUCUUGUACUUGAUUAGGUUGAGAUAUCGCUAUCCACAGAACAGAACCAUGUUUAAUCAUUUUUCUCAGAUUUUUUUUUUUUUUAAUGUCCUAUGAACAGCCAGGGUCAUUUAAGGACGUGCCAGAUUUUGGAGGUGGAGGAAAGCCGGAGCAACCGGAGAAAAACUACCGGCCUAUGAUCAGUACUUGGCAACUACCCCACAUAGGUUUUGAACACACUACCCAGAGGUGGAGGGCUAGUGAUAAAGUGUCGGACACCUUUAUUAACCUCUCGGCCACCGUGGCCCCUUUUCUCAUAUACUCAUCAAUAAACAAAAUUCCAGUUCAAAUAACAAAAUUCCAGUUGAAAUAAAGAUAUGCAUAAGUUAUUCAUCCUAGGAUUGAGACAGGUAUUUCAUAUCCCAACGAUUCUAUGAUGUUAUAAUGGAAACAAUGUCAUGUCAACAAUUCAUUAUCAUGUUGUCAAAGCUUUCAGCUGUCUUUGCUUAACCCAGUGAAGACAGAUUUACCUAGCAACCACAGGAUCACCCUGUGAAGUAUGGGAGAAAUAAUGGUCCGUGAGGUUUUAUCAAAAUACCACAAGCAAUGAAGCUGCUACAGUGCUGACAAAGAUUUUCUAAAAUAAGUCAUGGUUACCUUGAUCUUGAGGAAAAAACAAUGAAUCUUCAACUUGUCCGAGAUAUUAUGGACCUUUGUACCGCAAUUGUGUGGAGUUUGAUAUUGAUAGUAAGAGUGACCCCAAUUUGGAUCAAAGAAGAUUGACAUGAAAAUUCAAUCAAGAGAUAAUACAUUUUUGUUUAGUUGUAAGUUAGUGAUUAAGAGGAGUGGAAAAAUGCAUGGCCAUGCAGACAGAGGUUCAAACCUGGGACCUCUGAACACUAGCCAGAUGCUCUACCAAUUGAGCUACCUGGUCAUUGAUGUUCAAUCCGGUCCAGUUUCGCUACACUCUUCCCUCACUUUUAAAAUCUUCCACCCGGCAUCAAGUCAUUUUUUUAAAUUAUGUAGUCAGUCAUGAUAAAAAUUAGAUACAGUAACAACAAAUUCCUGCCAUGGAGAAGACUAACUUAAUGAGUUCACCGUUGCUUGUGGCUUCCAUUCAUGUGCAUGUACAAGUGAACAAGAGAAAACACUAGUCAGUCAUUAGACAUGGCGCAGUGAACCUACAAUUGAUCGGGUUUGCUUAAAAUCACCCAUGUAUACCUGAUACUACUUGAAUCAGUAGGGACUAAAAGAAAAUCUGAACACA